GGGAGAUCCCAGAAUGGUUCAGGGGAGCUGGCAGGAUCCACCAGGGGAGCUCUCGCUUGGGUGGACAGCCCCAGGGCACAGACUCCAGGCUGAGUAAUAUUACAUCUUGGUGGGAUGAUGCCACGGAGACAGUUGGCAAUGAAGCCCUCACGGACGCUGAAGACCCUGACCCCUUUGGUCCCCUCCAGGAAGAUGGUGAUGUACAAGAGCCAUGCAGGAUUCUACUCAGAGGGACAGGUCUUAGGGGCCUGAACUGGCCAGCCAUUCUGGGACUUGAGAUCAGGUCCCUGGGUUUAGGACUGGAAUGGAUCUGUUCAGAGGGACAAAAUUCCACUCAGGACGGAGCGCCCUGCCAUGCAUUCCUGGACAGAUUGGACGGACAGACGGCUGACGUGGGGACAUGCAUCGGCAGAUUGUCGAGGAGACCGUUUCUCCUGGGGAACAGGAAAAAGAAACAGAGGAGACAGUGUCCACAGGGCGUGGCUUCCUGGACCCCCCAAGAGUACUAAAACCUCUGGUUUCUCAAAUCGCUUAUGUACAAUGGCACAGGAUCUGCAUGGAACCUGCCCACACCCAGGACCUUAAAUCAUCUCCAGGUUACUUAU